UACGUAGGGCGCAAGCGUUGUCCGGAAUUAUUGGGCGUAAAGAGCUUGUAGGCGGUUUGUCGCGUCUGCUGUGAAAUUUCGGGGCUCAACCCCGAACUUGCAGUGGGUACGGGCAGACUAGAGUGCAGAAGGGGCAACUGGAAUUCUCGGUGUAGCGGUGAAAUGCGUAGAUAUCGAGAGGAACACCUGCGGCGAAGGCGGGUUGCUGGGCUGACACUGACGCUGAUGCGCGAAAGCCAGGGGAGCAAACGGG
rnacentral:rRNA from 1 species